rnacentral:rRNA from 1 species
GUUUGAUCAUGGCUCAGAUUGAACGCUGGCGGCAGGCUUAACACAUGCAAGUCGAGCGGUAACAGGGGGUGCUUGCACCCCGCUGACGAGCGGCGGACGGGUGAGUAAUGCAUAGGAAACUGCCCAGUAGUGGGGGAUAGCCCGGGGAAACCCGGAUUAAUACCGCGUACGCCCUUCGGGGGAAAGCAGGGGAUCUUCGGACCUUGCGCUAUUGGAUGUGCCUAUGUCGGAUUAGCUAGUUGGUGGGGUAAAGGCCUACCAAGGCGACGAUCCGUAGCUGGUCUGAGAGGAUGAUCAGCCACAUCGGGACUGAGACA